UGACUCGCCAGUGUUGAUCCAGUCUGGAUUGGCUAUGCUCGCGAUGGCGAAUAUAUCCGCGGCCAGAAACAGACAUCCUGAAAUAAUGGCCGCUGGGAGAACUUCCAGAAGCAAUGGUUCAUGAACCGUGAUUCCCCCACAGACGCUCUUCAGAGGAACGAUGAAGAAUCAGACACCGAGAACUGAUCACAGAUAGACUUCUUUUAAUGAAUGUACAUCAGAUAUACAGUGAAAUGGCUGAAACUGAUGCCUCUGCUCCCAGUGAACCAGACUUCAUGAUCAACUGAAACAACUGUCGACAGUAAUCAGGGAUUCACACACGUUUAAGAGUGUUUUU